GGAAUCGGUAGCCUCCCGCCCAAGGUCUUCAGGCUUUCUUCCGUUCUUGGGCUCUUUGGGCCUCGCCCCUCCCUCUCACAUUCCCAACUCCCAAGGACAACUUGUCGCUGGCUUCAGACGCCCGCCCAGCCUAAGGUUUCCUUGUGUCCCGGACUCUGCUGUUUUCUUUUUCUUUGGUCUAAUUUGUCCAUUUCUGCACUUGGCAAUUUCUUCGGGAACUAACUUGAAUCUACUUCUCCCUUGUCUGUAAUAGUCUCUCUCUCUCUCUCUCUCUCUCUCUCUCACACACACACACACACACACACACACACACACACACACACACACACACACUGUUUUCUUCCUCCUAGCCAUCUCUGGGUCUUCCAGCUGGCUCUGGCCUGUCCCUGGCACCUCCCUGCUACCUACUGAUCCGACGGCGCCCAAGGCGGUGUAGGCUGAUAAGACUGCUCCCGGGAAGGAGGCUCCGGGAUGAUCCACGCGGCCGCGCCCCGCACCCACCGGCGGCGCCACGGAGACGCAGAGUUCUCCAGAUCCUCCAAGCGCCGUCGGCGCCACCACACCAGACACUGUUCACGAGGCCUCAAAGCGUGAAGGCGGUGGCCCGGGGCCGACUCCCGGGUGACCGCCAAUUUGGUCCCAAGACACUUCAGGAUCUCGCAACCGAUGGAGGACAGCGCGGUUCCAAGAGAGGGCGCCAAAGGCGACGCGCUGGCGGCCAGCUCCAAGCCAACCAGGCCCAUUGCGUCCGUCUGCAGGAACCUGUCUCUUCACCCUGCUUUGGACACUGAGCUUCGGAGGAUCUGGCUGCGAGCUGAUUCAACGCCAGGGCGCCGCCUAGAGGACAAGAGGGGAUAUAAAUUGUUUGAAGUUCAUCAGCACGGUGAAGUUUUAUUGUAUUUCCGGUCCCUAAAAGAGAAGCCGGCAGCCAGGCAGACUCCCUCCUUAUCUCCGAGUUUCCACGCUAGGGACACACACGUGGCCAAGCGGACACUUGCCUUCGGGAGCAGGGAGGGAGGGAGCCGGCUCCGACCGACUCUCCCUCACUGGCUCAGGUAAGUCUAAGAGGCCUCUGAUAGUUGUGGCAUCAACUGAGCCACAACCUGUGAGGAUGUGCGAAGUGACUUUGUAGGGAUGGAAGAGAGCGGGAGACA
rnacentral:lncRNA from 1 species